rnacentral:rRNA from 1 species
AACGAACGCUGGCGGCAUGCCUAACACAUGCAAGUCGAACGGGAUCCUGGUUUCGGCCAGGUGAGAGUGGCGGACGGGUGAGUAACGCGUGGGAACCUGCCCAGUGGUGGGGGAUAACUGCGGGAAACUGCAGCUAAUACCGCAUGAGCCCGCAAGGGGAAAGAUUGAUCGCCAUUGGAGGGGCCCGCGUUCGAUUAGGUAGUUGGUGAGGUAACGGCUCACCAAGCCUACGAUCGAUAGCUGGUCUGAGAGGAUGAUCAGCCACACUGGGACUGAGAUACGGCCCAGACUCCUACGGGAGGCAGCAGUGGGGAAUAUUGGACAAUGGGGGCGAACCCUGAUCCAGCAAUGCCGCGUGAGUGAUGAAGGCCUUCGGUUGU